rnacentral:rRNA from 1 species
CAUUGGCUCAANCCAAUGUAUGCUUUGGAAACUGUUAGACUNGAGUGCAGAAGGGGAGAGUGGAAUUCCAUGUGUAGCGGUGAAAUGCGUAGAUAUAUGGAGGAACACCGGUGGCGAAAGCGGCUCUCUGGUCUGUCACUGACGCUGAGGCUCGAAAGCGUGGGUAGCGAACAGGAUUAGAUACCCUGGUAGUCCACGCCGUAAACGCUGAGUGCUAGGUGUUAGGUCCUUUCCGGGACUUAGUGCCGACGCUAACGCAUUAAGCACUCCGCCUGGGGAGUACGACCGCAAGGUUGAAACUCAAAGGAAUUGACGGGGGCCCGCACAAGCGGUGGAGCAUGUGGUUUAAUUCGAAGCAACGCGAAGAACCUUACCAGGUCUUGACAUCCCGAUGCCCGCUCUAGAGAUGGAGUUUUUCUUCGGAACAUCGGAGACAGGUGGUGCAUGGUUGUCGUCAGCUCGUGUCGUGAGAUGUUGGGUUAAGUCCCGCAACGAGCGCAACCCUUAUUGUUAGUUGCCAUCAUUAAGUUGGGCACUCUAGCGAGACUGCCGGUAAUAAACCGGAGGAAGGUGGGGAUGACGUCAAAUCAUCAUGCCCCUUAUGACCUGGGCUACACACGUGCUACAAUGGUUGGUACAACGAGUCGCAAGCCGGUGACGGCAAGCUAAUCUCUGAAAGCCAAUCUCAGUUCGGAUUGUAGGCUGCAACUCGCCUACAUGAAGUCGGAAUCGCUAGUAAUCGCGGAUCAGCACGCCGCGGUGAAUACGUUCCCGGGCCUUGUACACACCGCCCGUCACACCACGAGAGUUUGUAACACCCAAAGUCGGUG